GGGGAUUUGGCUCAGUGGUAGAGUGCUUGCUUAGCAAGCACAAGGCCCUGGGUUCAGUCCCCAGCUCCG
rnacentral:tRNA from 1 species